rnacentral:tmRNA from 1 species
GGGGACGCUUUGGAUUUGACAGGGCGAUUGAUAGACAUAAGCUGCGAGUCGAAGGGCUGUUCUUCGUUAAUAACAAGCAUUCUAAAAUAAACGCUACAGAUAACGUUGUAGUUGCUGAUUUCUCAAGAGCUAGAGCUCUUGCUGCUUAAUCUUAGCAGUUCAGCCACUUUAUUAGACCAACUUGCCGUCUAAUAAGGUAAAUUUAUGCAAGUUGCAACUAUUUUCUUUUAAGAGGAAUCUAGUCUAAGUUCUAUUCUUAAAGCGCGUAUCGCUUUCUCUACUUUGAAUUGAUCUUUAAGGUUUGGGUUAUUUCUUCCUUAUUCAAUUCGAGAUAAAAUAAUCCUAUAUUCGUAGACGUUUAUGUUUGUCCGUUUUGGACGUGGGUUCGACUCCCACCGUCUCCA